GGUUGAUUCUGCCAGUUGGAUAUGCUUGUUUCAAGGACUAAGCCAUGCAUGCCUCAGAAUAACUGCACUGCAGGAAUCUGCGCAUGGCUCAUUACAUCAGACGCAAUCUGCCGCAAAAAUGUUGCGGUUUCCGCAUAUUGGAUAACUUGUGCGAAACGCCAAGCUAAUACAUGAAUCAGAGGGUUUAGCCACCAUUCACGCCGGGGGAGGCUUCGGCCAAACUCGGUAGCGUGGCGCCCUGCGAAUGAAUGAAAUUAAAACCAAUGCCCUUUACGGGGCAGCAACACCAAGCAGUGUUGACUCAAUUCAUUCCGUGCGAAAGCCGGUCUGACCGGCGUCUUUCGAUGAACAACUGCUCUAUCAGCCAGUGAUGGCCGUGUAGUGGACUGCCAUGGCGUUGACGGAAGCGGGGGAUUAGGGUUCGAUUCCGGAGAGGGAGCCUGAGAAAUGGCUACCACUUCUACGGAGGGCAGCAGGCGCGCAAAUUGCCCAAUGCCAAGAAAUGAUGAGGCAGCGAAAAGAAAUAGGUCUCCUAAGCGGUUUACGCCGUUUGGGAGUUGCAAUGGGGGAUAUUUAAAACCAUCCAAUAUCGAGUAUCAAUUGGAGGACAAGUCUGGUGCCAGCACCCGCGGUAAUUCCAGCUCCAAGAGCGUAUCUAAACGCUGUUGCUGUUAAAGGGUUCGUAGUUGAAUUGUGAGCUGUUCAGCCUAGCGGAAUCAGUCCCUGCCUCCGGCACGCGACCUUCCCUCUGGCAGCUCGUGAACAUCCAGAAACAAAUUCACGGGAGUGUUUGACCUUUCCGAUUUACGCAUGCAAUGUAUGCUCAGGGGGGCGCCCGUGUCUUUUACUGUGACUAAAAAAGCGCGACCAAAGCAGUCGUUGACAUGAAUUUCAAAGCAUGGGAUAACAACGAAGCAGCCUACGGGGUACCGUUUUGGCUUUUGUUGGUUUUAAAGCUCUGUGGGAGACUAUGGACUCGCAUGACAAGUGGCUUGGGGUUUUAUCCCCACACCUCCGUCGCCGUGGGGCUCUCGGGCUCUCGGCGCGCGGCUUGCGUUGGUCCAGGAAUGAAGGAGGGUUGUUCGGGGGAGAACGUACUUGAGCGUGAGAGGUGAAAUUCUUAGACCGCUCAAAGACGAACUACAGCGAAGGCA
rnacentral:rRNA from 1 species